rnacentral:rRNA from 1 species
AACACAUGCAAGUCGGACGCUUCACCGGUUCCGGCCGGUGGGGAGUGGCGCACGGGUGAGUAGCGCGUGGGAACCUGCCCUGUUGUGGGGGAUAACCGAGGGAAACUUCGGCUAAUACCGCAUGCGCCCGCGGAGUUGAUCCGCGGGGAAAGAUUUAUCGCAGCAGGAGGGGCCCGCGUCGGAUUAGGUAGUUGGCGGGGUAACGGCCCACCAAGCCUGUGAUCCGUAGCUGGUCUGAGAGGAUGAUCAGCCACACUGGGACUGAGACACGGCCCAGACUCCUACGGGAGGCAGCAGUGGGGAAUAUUGGACAAUGGGCGCAAGCCUGAUCCGGCAAUGCCGCGUGAGUGAUGAAGGCCUUCGGGUUGUAAAGCUCUUUCGCCCGCGACGAUNAUGACGGUAGCGGGAGAAGAAGCCCCGGCUAACUUCGUGCCAGCAGCCGCGGUAAUACGAAGGGGGCGAGCGUUGUUCGGAGUCACUGGGCGUAAAGGGCGCGUANGCGGCCCUCCUUGUCGCGUGUGAAAGCCCCGGGCUCAACCUGGGAACGGCGCGCGAGAACGGGGGGCUGGAG